rnacentral:rRNA from 1 species
GACGAACGCUGGCGGCGUGCCUAAUACAUGCAAGUAGGACGCAGUUGCGAACGGGUGAGUAACGCGUAGGUAACUGCCUAUUAGAGGGGGAUAACUAUUGGAAACGAUAGCUAAUACCGCAUACUAGUAGAUGGACCUGCGUUGUAUUAGGUAGUAGGUAGGGUAAUGGCCUACCUAGGCGACGAUACAUAGCCGACCCUGGAUGGUGGUCGGCCCCCACGGGAACGGGACACGGGCCAGGCUCCCACGGGAGGGAGCAGUAGGGAAGCUUCGGCAAUGGGGGGAAACCUGGCCGGACAACGCCGCGUUGGUGGAGAAGGGUUUCGGAUCCGAAAGCUCUGUUGUUAAGGAAACGGUACUUAACCAGAAAGCGACGGCUAACUACGUGCCAGCAGCCGCGGUAAUAC